rnacentral:rRNA from 1 species
CGGACGUGACUGCUAUUGGAGUAGGACUAAGUCACGCUAGUCAAAGGUGCGGAAUAGAAGCAUCUGGCGUACGGCUCAGUAACACGUAGUCAACCUACUCUAAGGACGAGGACAAGCACGGGAAACUGUGGCUAAUACUCGAUAAGAAAUUUGGCCUGGAACGGUAUCUUUCACAAAACCGGCUCGCCGUGAGACACGGGCCUUAGGAUGGGGCUGCGGCUGAUUAUGCUAGAUGGCGGUGUAAAGGACCACCAUGGCUACGAUCAGUAUGGGCGAUGGAAGUAGGAGCCCAGAGUCGGCUACUGAGACAAGGAGCCGAGCUUUACGAAGCUUAGCGGUCGCGAAAACUCGCCAAUGCACGAAAGUGUGAGUGGGCUACUCCAAGUGUCAUUCUUACGGAUGACUGUCGCUCAGUCUUACCAGCUGAGAAAGGAAGGAGAGGGCAAGGCUGGUGCCAGCCGCCGCGGUAAAACCAGCUCUUCGAGUGGUCAGGACGAAUAUUGGGUCUAAAGCGCUCGUAGCCGGACAAGUAGGUUCUUGGUUAAACCCGACAGCAUAACUGUUGGUCUGCUGGGAAUACCGCUAGUCUUGGGAGCGGGAGAGGACAGAGGUAGUCAUAGGGCAGGGGUGAAAUCCAGUGAUCCUAUGGCGACCACCGAUGGCGAAGGCAUCUGUCUGGAACGUAUCCGACGGUGAGGGGCGAAAGCUAGGGGAGCGACCCGGAUUAGAUACCCGGUUAGUCCUAGCCGUAAACGAUGCGGACUAGGUGUUACAGCGGCCAAGAGCCACUGUAGUGCCACAGCGAAGGCGUUAAGUCCGCCACCUGGGGAGUACGGAUGCAAGUCUGAAACUUAAAGGAAUUAACGAGGGCGCAC